UCUGUUCAUUAUCUCAACAAGUUUCCCAGAGAUUCGUUUCAUCAACACAAUACUGCCGCUGCAAUUAUCCGGCCGAGAUAUUGGGUCUAAAAGCACUGCAAUCUGGUGCACAUUUGCCCAACGAGGAUAAGCUGGUUACGCAGAAGACAGCGAAGACCAUGCAGACAUGACGAAAAUAACGGCCAAACAGCGACGAUAACAUUGCAACCUGAAUUGUUGACUAAGGCGACUACAAAUUUUCCACAUUUAGCAGUAGCAAGUAAAGGAACACUACUUUUUAUUCUGGCUAAGAAAGCUGCGCUCGAAGCAUUACUGCAAAAGACGGCUCUAUUGUACACAUCCGAUAACGCAAGACUAUUGUUUGCUACCUCCACUGGGGCAUGAGUUUCGCUCUCUGUGUAGGGGACGGGCAAUGUUGUGCUCUUUGUAUAGCGAAAAAGUUGCAUGCUUUUAAGCUAAACCGCGAAUGCAAGGCUGACGCGCCGCGCUGGAACCUGUUUCGGUUAAGCCUUCACGGCCGCGACGUCCAGCGUAACGGCCGGUACAGUAGUUACAAAUUUUUCAAUAACUGGGAAAGACGAGGCAGUGUUAAAACUAGGGCAGGUCAUAAACGGAGCUCACAACGCACGCUCUGUACACGGUUAUACGCUCCUGUACACGGUUAUAAAGGGUGAACAGCUCUAAGUGCUACGAAAUCGCUCUAAAUUGCCUGUGGCAGAUAGCAAAAUUCUUGUCCUUGACAUGGGUUAGAGGCGGCCAUUACUAGCAUGAGAAAUUGAAGUACAUAUUUAGUAAAUAAAAACAACACAAAAUCUUGCUCAAUUGCUUAUGGUACAUAUUGAAAUUUACGAAUUGCAGCGGGUGAGAUCGCAAGAGCUACCCACUUGAAAUAAUUGUCCAGGAUGACGCGUUUGAAGAUUAUAUUUCCCAAGGAGUGGAACAAAAUACACUGGAUUUCCAGUUAAGUUUGUGCUUAAAUGCGUAAAAGAGCCUUUUUUUAAAGAAAUAAGUACGCUUUGCAGAGCCACAAGGUACAAUUUGCCAAUUGCAGUAUGUGCCGUGUAGUAAUUAAAUCAAAAGCUCCAAUUCGCGGACUGCGGAUAAAGUAGUAAAAGCUGCAGUGGAAGAACGAAUCUUGUAUUCUACGAGAAGUUGCUAUAAAGAGACGUGCUCUCGGGGCAGCUGCCCCACCAAUGGGUGCAGAUGUCCAGGACCGUUAUCACUUCUCUUUGGAAGAAGGAACUGUUACUGAGAUGGAUACCUGCUUUGCCCCUAUUUCAUGAUCAAUUGAAGAAAAUAAAUAUUUUGGCACUUUGUA